ensembl:lncRNA
UUUUUUACUUAUAUGGGACUUGCAUUACUCUGCACUGAUGUUAUGCCAUCUAAGAGUGCAAAGGUCAAAAACAUAAUCUGUAACUUUUAUUGAGGGAACUUUGGUCUCUCCUGAACAGCUGAACUGAUCAUUUCUUGUUUUGAUCUAACAGCAAAGAGACGCCAUGCUCAGGACUUCUGUGUUACUGUUUUUUGUACUAACCAAUGGCAUCACAGCAAAGCCACUAAAACCCUGGGAUGAACUUGGCAGUGAAGCAGUCCAAAAGGGUUGGGUAUCCAUUGAUGACAAAGGUAUGGCCUCCUGGGGAGUGGAAGUGGAGCCUCCUGAAGACAUGGAUGAAACCAGUUUUGACAUUGACCCUAGUAUGAAAAUCUGGAAGAGUGUGGAAAAUGAAGGCAAACAGUACCAAAUGGCUGAAGAAGAUUUGGAUGAUCUCCAACAUCCCUCAACAAAGGACCUUGUUAAAGUCUAUGAAGAAAACAUUCAGGAUGCCCUCCCUGCUGCUGAAGUGCCUGUAAAAGAUGUCACAAGUAAUGAAGAAACAGACUUAGAACAUCGGCGGUAUACAGAGCCUGAAGAAGACUGGGAUGAGCUUUACCACAGUGAACCGCAGCUGGACGAGUAUUUAGCGCCCCUAGUGGUGGGAUUUCAGGGUUAUCCGGUGGUCCGUCCAGUUCACUCUGAGCCAGAGAAAGAUGAAGACCACUUGUACCAUGCUGAUGUUGACUCUAGCAUGCAGCUGAUUCCACUGGAGCCUGAAAUAAUGGCAGAAAAUCAGGCAAGGCUUUACCUGGAGCCAGAAGAAGACAUGGACCACAUUUAUCACAAAGACGUCCCAGAGAUGACCCCCUUUAACAGUGAGCUGCAGCCUGCUGUUGUGGACUGGCCCACUCAGAAGAAACACACUGAGCCCGAGGAAGACCUGGAUGCCAUUUACCAUCAGUGAAUUCAAUAAAUCAUGUCAGAUGUCAUGUAACACUGUCUUAGUUUGGGCUAAAUCAGCAGUUAUACAAUGUUUCAUUGAAUUACUUUAUUUCAAUAAAGUCACAAAAAUCACAAAAUACAUAACUGAAUGCUAUUUUGUAAAUA